rnacentral:rRNA from 1 species
AGAAUGAACGCUGGCGGCAUGCCUAACACAUGCAAGUCGAACGAGAUCCUUCGGGGUCUAGUGGCGCACGGGUGCGUAACGCGUGGGAAUCUACCCUUGGGUUCGGAAUAACAGUGAGAAAUUACUGCUAAUACCGGAUAAUGUCGCAAGACCAAAGAUUUAUUGCCCAAGGAUGAGCCCGCGUAAGAUUAGCUAGUUGGUGGGGUAAAAGCCUACCAAGGCGACGAUCUUUAGCUGGUCUGAGAGGAUGAUCAGCCACACUGGGACUGAGACACGGCCCAGACUCCUACGGGAGGCAGCAGUGGGGAAUAUUGGACAAUGGGCGAAAGCCUGAUCCAGCAAUGCCGCGUGAGUGAUGAAGGCCUUAGGUUGUAAAGCUCUUUACCCGGGAAGAUAAUGACUGUACCGGGAGAAUAAGCCCGGCUAACUCCGUGCCAGCAGCCGC